GGGGGCCCGCACAAGCGGUGGAGCAUGUGGUUUAAUUCGAUGCAACGCGAAGAACCUUACCUGGUCUUGACAUCCACGGAAGUUUUCAGAGAUGAGAAUGUGCCUUCGGGAACCGUGAGACAGGUGCUGCAUGGCUGUCGUCAGCUCGUGUUGUGAAAUGUUGGGUUAAGUCCCGCAACGAGCGCAACCCUUAUCCUUUGUUGCCAGCGGUCCGGCCGGGAACUCAAAGGAGACUGCCAGUGAUAAACUGGAGGAAGGUGGGGAUGACGUCAAGUCAUCAUGGCCCUUACGACCAGGGCUACACACGUGCUACAAUGGCGCAUACAAAGAGAAGCGAACUCGCGAGAGCAAGCGGACCUCAUAAAGUGCGUCGUAGUCCGGAUUGGAGUCUGCAACUCGACUCCAUGAAGUCGGA
rnacentral:rRNA from 1 species